rnacentral:rRNA from 1 species
CCUACGGGAGGCUGCAGUGGGGAAUAUUGGACAAUGGGGGCAACCCUGAUCCAGCCAUGCCGCGUGUGUGAAGAAGGCCCUCGGGUUGUAAAGCACUUUCAGUGAGGAAGAACGCCUGGUGGUUAAUACCCAUCAGGAAAGACAUCACUCACAGAAGAAGCACCGGCUAACUCCGUGCCAGCAGCCGCGGUAAUACGGAGGGUGCGAGCGUUAAUCGGAAUUACUGGGCGUAAAGCGCGCGUAGGUGGCUUGAUAAGCCGGUUGUGAAAGCCCCGGGCUCAACCUGGGAACGGCAUCCGGAACUGUCAAGCUAGAGUGCAGGAGAGGAAGGUAGAAUUCCCGGUGUAGCGGUGAAAUGCGUAGAGAUCGGGAGGAAUACCAGUGGCGAAGGCAGCCUUCUGGACUGACACUGACACUGAGGUGCGAAAGCGUGGGUAGCAAACAGGAUUAGAUACCCCAGUAGUC